rnacentral:tRNA from 1 species
GCCGGUGUAGCUCAGAGGCAGAGCGAGGGUCUCAUAAUCCCUAGGUCGGCGGUUCGAUUCCGCCCGCCGGCACCA